GGGGAUGUAGCUCAGUUGGUAGAGUGCUUGCCUUGCAUGCACAAGGCUCUGGGUUCAAUCCCCGGCACUCCCC
rnacentral:tRNA from 1 species